rnacentral:rRNA from 1 species
UACGUAGGGUGCAAGCGUUGUCCGGAAUUACUGGGCGUAAAGAGCUCGUAGGUGGUUUGUCGCGUCGUCUGUGAAAUCCCGGGGCUUAACCUCGGGCGUGCAGGCGAUACGGGCAAUACUUGAGUGCUGUAGGGGAGACUGGAAUUCCUGGUGUAGCGGUGAAAUGCGCAGAUAUCAGGAGGAACACCAAUGGUGAAGGUAGGUCUCUGGGCAGUUACUGACGCUGAGGAGCGAAAGCAUGGGUAGCGAACAGGAUUAGAUACCCCU